GUGAGACAGUUCGGUCCCUAUCUGUCGUGGGCGUAGGAAAUUUGAGAGGAGCUGUCCUUAGUACGAGAGGACCGGGAUGGACGUACCGCUGGUGUACCAGUUGUUCCGCCAGGAGCACCGCUGGGUAGCUAUGUACGGAAGGGAUAAGCGCUGAAAGCAUCUAAGCGUGAAGCCCCCCUCAAGAUGAGAUUUCCCAGUAAGUAAGACCCCUUGAAGACGACGAGGUAGAUAGGUUGGGGGUGGAAGUGCAGUAAUGCAUGGAGCUGACCAAUACUAAUCGGUCGAGGGCUUAUCCUAA
rnacentral:rRNA from 1 species